CUCCCCGUUCCUCCGGCGCAUCGCGGUCGCCAUGGCGCUGUGCGGCCGCUCCGCGCUCCUCCCGCCGCCCCCCCGGCACCGGCCCCGGCCCCGAGCCCCGGGACCCUUCGUCAGUUGCAGCCGCCUCCGAAAUAUCCAGAGCAUCCUGACACAGAGCAGCAAAUCUCAGCCUGAUGGAAUCCUCUGCAUUUUAGGGAUAGACAGUCGAUACAAUGAAGGGUGCAGGGAGCUGGCAAAUUAUCUGCUCUUUGGUUUGUACAACCAGAACAACAACGACUUCGAAAGGACAGGCUUUCCUGAGGAAGUUCUGGAUGAUAUAAUCAUAUUAAUAAAACCUGACAGUGUGCAUCUGUACUGCAACCCUGUGAAUUAUAAUCAUCUUUUGCCCUAUGUGGCACACUGGAGGAACUUGCAUUUCCACUGUCUGACUGAAAAUGAGUAUGAAGAUGAAGAAGCUGCAGAGGAAUUCAAGAUUUCCAGCUUUGUGGACAUGGUCCGGGAUUGCAGCCGCAUCGGAAUCCCCUACAGCUGCCAAGGUCACCUGCAGAUAUUUGACAUGUUCAUCGUGGAGAAGUGGCCGAUUGUCCAGGCCUUUGCACUGGAGGGCAUCGGGGGCGACGGCUUCUUCACCAUGAAAUAUGAAUUGAUGGAUGUCAGUGUUGACUUGUGGAAGACCUACAGCAAAAUGGAUCCUGUGUCCUUGGAGGAUUUGCUCUUUGAGGAUUUAAUGAUUUUUGARCACCAGUGGACCAACUUUUUUGCUAAUUUUGACACUGAAAUUCCCUUCAUUCUGGAGCUCUCAGAAUCUCAGGCGGGGGAGCCCUUCAGAAGUUAUUUCAGCCAUGGCAUGAUCUCAAGCCAUAUAACAGAUAACAGCCCRAGCCGGCAGCCCUUCGUCCUGUUUGGCAGCCACUCCACAAAAGAGAACUUGAAUUCUGGUAACUUUAAUUUUCCAUCUGAAGGACAUCUGGUUCGAAACACUGGCCCUGGUGGAAGCACUGCCAAGCAUAUGGUAGUGCAGUGUGUGUCUCCAAAGGGACCUCUGGCUUGUUCAAGGACCUAUUUUUUUGGAGCCACUCACGUUCCUUUCCUGGGAAAUGACAAUGAGAUGCACAAGCAAGCUGACCAAGUUACGCUGUUGUCGCAAAUAUAUUCUGCUGUUGUAGAGGCUGUGCUUGCUGGCAUUGAGUGCUAUGCUAAAACUUCCACUGAAUCCAAGGCAAAGGAGGUGGCAGAGCAGGUGCUGCUGUCUGCAUUAGACACCCUUGGCUUAGCACAGCUGAAAUCUGCUUUACGCUCCAAAAUCGCUUUUCAAAUUCAGGCUGUGAACAACCACGGCAGAAUUACACCGUUAGAUAACGAGGAUAGCCUGAGUUUGAUCAAAACGGCAUCUCUGAUGGUGUUUGACAUUCCAGACCUGCUCACGGGAAGAGGAUGCUUGGGCUCUGUUGUGUUUUCUGAGUCCUUUCUGACAUCCCAGAUACAAGUCAAAGAAAAAGAUGGCAGCAUCAAUCCAGACUCCAGGCACGUUAUCCUGACUGCAGCCAUCCCGAGAUUUGCYUCCUGGCUGGUUGAAGACAGCGAUGUGAAACUCUCUGAGAAGGCUCAGCAAGUAUUGAAGGAAGACAAAUCUUUCCUGGGCACUUUACUCACCGGGGGUGAUGGAGUAUUCAUUUGUUCCAGCAAUCCACAGACCAUGCCUGCAGAAGGCAAACUCUAUUUCUUUUCCAAUGGCAUUCUCUUCUCUGAUCCCCACCAYGGCAGCAUUUCCAUUUCCAAGAACCACAUGAGUUCCAUUUCUCUCUAUGAUGGGGAUUCCAACAGCGUUGUUGCUGCUCUCUUCAUAGACUUCAACAGUUCCCUGCUUCCUCAUCUGCCCAUCGAAUUCCAUUCCCAGAACAACUUCCUGAUGAUUGCACUUUUCCCYAAAAGAAAGAUCUAUAAAGCUUUUUAUUCACAGGUUUUCUCUUCGUGGCAAAACCAGACAAACUCAGGAUUAUCUUUAAGGGUUGUCCAGGAGGAAUUCCUGUCUGUGGAGCAAAAGAGGAUGCAUUCCACUGUUCAGAAGCUCUUCAAUGCCUUGUCUUUUCCUUCUGGGGAAAGAUGCAGGGAGCUGAAACUAUCUGCUGCCAUUCCAGAAUUGGAGAAGUUUGUGCAGCACUUCACAGUCAGCAGYGUCAGCACCAAGCCAGUGAUGAGAGCACAUCUUCCCAUCCUUCUGCAACAGUCAGAAACCAUUCCUGAUAGCAAAGCAGAAGGUGAUAAGGUGAUCAUCACCAUCCUCACGGGGCUCCCAGGAUGUCGUUCCAGUGACCUGUGUGCUUUCCUUGUCACUUUUACCAAGGAGUAUGGGAGGUGGAUGGUUUAUAGGCAGACCAUGGAUAGUCCYGAGUGUUUCAGUGCCUCCCAUUUCCAGCGUUACCUGUCCGGGCUCCUGGAGGCGCAGCAGAACCUCGGUGUCCGUCAGGCUGGGAAGAGCAGGAGGCUGYUGGUGGUCCUGCAAGGCUACACUGAUGUUAUUGAUGUUGUGCAAGCUCUGCAGACUCACCCUGACCCAGAUGUGAAAUCUUCGUUUGUCAUCGGAGCAGUCAAUACCUGCGUGGAGCCUCUGAGCUGCUACAUGGAGCACAGGCUUCUUUUUCCCAAGUUCUUGGACCAGUGUUCCCAAGGACUGGUGAGUAACGUGGUUUUCACCAGCCAUGCCACAGAUCAGAGGCACCCACUCCUCGUGCAGCUGCAGAGCCUGAUCCGAGCAGCAAAUCCUGGAGUUUCCUUUGUCCUGGCAGAAAAUGGAAUUGUAACGAGGAAUGAGGAUAUUGAAUUAAUUCUCUCAGAAAGCAGUUUUUCAAACCCUCGRAUGAUGAGAGCUCGAUAUUUAAUGUACCCUGGCUGGUAUGAGGGCAAAUACGGGGCUGGGCCUGUGUUCCCUCCCAUGGUUCAGAUCUGUGUGUGGUUCAGUCGCCCUCUGGAGAAAACACGAUUCGUGGCCAAGUGCAAAGCAAUUAAGUCGUUGCUCAAGCCAAGUCCUUUUUCUGGAAACAUUUAUCACAUCAUGGGCAAAGUGAAGUUUUCAGAUGCUGAUAAAAUCAUUGAAGUCUGUCACAACACAUCAGCAAACUCCCUAAGCCUGGUGCCUGUUCCAGAGGGGCCGACUCCUCCUGAUUGCAGGAGCGAUCCCAGGGACUGCAGCAGUCAACAGGAAUAYUUCCUUGUGUUCAUUGGCUGCUCCCUGAAGGAAGAGGAUAUCAAAGAUUGGCUCAGAGAAACCGCAAAACAGAAACCUCAGAGGAAAGCCCUGAAAACCMGAGGAAUGUUAACCCUUCAGGAAAUAAAAAACAUUCACGUGAAACGCCACUUGGAUCCACUUCCAGCUGGUUAUUUUUACAACGGGACUCAAUUUGUGAAUUUUUUUGGUGACAAAAUGGAUUAUCAUCCAUUAAUGGACCAGUUCAUGAAYGAUUAUUUGGAAGAAGCCAACAGGGAAAUUGAGAAGUACAACAGGGAGCUGGAGGAGCAGGAGUACCAUGAUCUCUUUGAGCAGAAGACUUAAACACGUGGGUCCAGGGCAUUUGUGUCCUGUUAUCAGGAACCAAAAAUGCCAUUUAUCCUCCUGGCUCGUGAGAAAAUCGAGUGAAAUGUCUGUUUUCAGCACUYCUUCCCAAAUUAUGGGAUCAAUCCCCUAAGGUUGGCGUUUAAUCYGGUAACUGCUUAGCUGUUCCUACUGUCAGGUUUGCUUCCACUUCACCUCAGUUCCAGACUGUACAAAGCAUCACCUGGAAUCUCUGGCUUGUGGUGGAAACGUGGGGAAAAGAAGACGAGGAAGAAGAAAGAGGAAGAAGGAGAAAAGAUGCAAAAUUAUUUAUUUCCUUAAAGGUUGGAAUGUAAUUGUGGAAUUGGGCCGUGGUGCAGAUUGUCAAACAAUCCCUGGGCUCCCCUGUUGCACGGGAGCAGGGGUGUGGGAUUGGGGGUGUUCCCAAAGUGAGAAAUGGGGGAACACUGACUUGGAACAGUCCCUAAUCCCAAAGUGAGAAAUGGGGGAACACUGACUUGGAACAGUCCCUAAUCCCAAAGCAAGAAAUGGGGGAACAUUGACUUGGAACAGUCCCUAAUCCCACAGCUGUUUGAGGGUUCCCAAAGUGAGAAUUUGGGGAACAUUGACUUGGAACAGUCCCUAAUCCCAUAACUGUUUGGGGGGCUCCCAAAGCGAGAAAUGGGGGAGCAUUGACUUGGAAUAGUCCCUAAUCCCACAGCUGUCAGGAUAUUCCCAAAGCAAGAAAUGGGGAAUAAUUAAAAAAAAAAAUAGAAGAAGCCCUAAUCCCACAGCUGCUGGGAUGUUCCCAAAGCGAGAAAUGGGGGAACAAUGGGAAAAACUUAGAAUUGAGUCCCAAAUCCCACAGCUGUUGGGGUGUUCCCAAAGCGAGAAAUGGGGGAACAGUGGAAAAACUCUGAAGAAUCCCUAAUCCCACAACUGUCAGGAUGUUCCUGAAGCAAGAAAUAAUGGAAUUAUGAAAAAAAUAGAAAAAUCCUAAAUCCCACAGUUGCUGGGGUGUUCCCAAAGCGAGAAAUGGGGGAACAAUGGGGWAAAUCUGAAAGAGUCCCUAAUCCCACUGAUUUUAGGUUGUCCCCAKAGUAAGAAAUGGGGGAGCACUUUCUCAGAGUCCCUAAUCCCAGAGCUGUUGGGAUGUUCCCARAGUGAGAAAUGGGGCCAACAAUGGGAAAAUCUUGGAUGAGCUCCUAAUCCCACAGCUGCUGGGAUGUUCCCAAAGYGAGAAAUGGGGGAACAAUGGGAWAARCUCAGAAUUGGCUCCUUAAUCCCACAGCUCUUGGUGUGUUCCCAA